AGAGUUUGAUCCUGGCUCAGGAUGAACGCUGGCGGCGUGCCUAAUACAUGCAAGUCGAGCGAACAGACGAGGAGCUUGCUCCUCUGACGUUAGCGGCGGACGGGUGAGUAACACGUGGAUAACCUACCUAUAAGACUGGGAUAACUUCGGGAAACCGGAGCUAAUACCGGAUAAUAUUUUGAACCGCAUGGUUCAAAAGUGAAAGACGGUCUUGCUGUCACUUAUAGAUGGAUCCGCGCUGCAUUAGCUAGUUGGUAAGGUAACGGCUUACCAAGGCAACGAUGCAUAGCCGACCUGAGAGGGUGAUCGGCCACACUGGAACUGAGACACGGUCCAGACUCCUACGGGAGGCAGCAGUAGGGAAUCUUCCGCAAUGGGCGAAAGCCUGACGGAGCAACGCCGCGUGAGUGAUGAAGGUCUUCGGAUCGUAAAACUCUGUUAUUAGGGAAGAACAUAUGUGUAAGUAACUGUGCACAUCUUGACGGUACCUAAUCAGAAAGCCACGGCUAACUACGUGCCAGCAGCCGCGGUAAUACGUAGGUGGCAAGCGUUAUCCGGAAUUAUUGGGCGUAAAGCGCGCGUAGGCGGUUUUUUAAGUCUGAUGUGAAAGCCCACGGCUCAACCGUGGAGGGUCAUUGGAAACUGGAAAACUUGAGUGCAGAAGAGGAAAGUGGAAUUCCAUGUGUAGCGGUGAAAUGCGUAGAGAUAUGGAGGAACACCAGUGGCGAAGGCGACUUUCUGGUCUGUAACUGACACUGAGGCGCGAAAGCGUGGGGAGCAAACAGGAUUAGAUACCCUGGUAGUCCACGC
rnacentral:rRNA from 1 species